rnacentral:rRNA from 1 species
UUAUUUAGAGAGUUUGAUCCUGGCUCAGGACGAACGCUGGCGGCGUGCCUAACACAUGCAAGUCGAACGGACUUUAAUCCUUUCGGGGACUAAAGUUAGUGGCGGACG